UACGUAGGGUGCGAGCGUUAAUCGGAAUUACUGGGCGUAAAGCGUGCGCAGGCGGUUCGUUGUGUCGGCGGUGAAAGCCCCGGGCUCAACCUGGGAAUGGCCGUUGAAACUGGCGAACUGGAGUGUGGCAGAGGGGGGUGGAAUUCCGCGUGUAGCAGUGAAAUGCGUAGAGAUGCGGAGGAACACCUGUGGCGAAGGCGGCCCCCUGGUUGGAUACUGACGCUGAUACGCGAAAGCGUGGGGAGCAAACAGG
rnacentral:rRNA from 1 species